GACGAACCGUGCGAACGUUAUUCGGAAUUACUGGGCGUAAAGGGCGCGUAGGCGGCCCGCUAAGUCGAACGUGAAAUCCCCGGGCUCAACCCGGGAACUGCGUCCGAUACUGGCAGGCUUGAAUCCGGGAGAGGGAUGUGGAAUUCCAGGUGUAGCGGUGAAAUGCGUAGAUAUCUGGAGGAACACCGGUGGCGAAGGCGGCAUCCUGGACCGGUAUUGACGCUGAGGCGCGAAAGCCAGGGGAGCAAACGGG
rnacentral:rRNA from 1 species